UACGUAGGGCGCAAGCGUUAUCCGGAAUUAUUGGGCGUAAAGAGCUCGUAGGCGGUUUGUCGCGUCUGCCGUGAAAGUCCGGGGCUCAACUCCGGAUCUGCGGUGGGUACGGGCAGACUUGAGUUCGGUAGGGGAGUGGGGAAUUCCUGGUGUAGCGGUGAAAUGCGCAGAUAUCAGGAGGAACACCGGUGGCGAAGGCGGCAUCCUGGACCAAUUCUGACGCUGAGGAGCGAAAGCCAGGGGAGCAAACGGG
rnacentral:rRNA from 1 species